CUCUAGCCUCGAUUGCAACGGCAUCCUUUUGUGUAGCGAAGCGAAACAAAAGAUAUAGUGGAAAGCGGGAUUAAGC
rnacentral:sRNA from 1 species